rnacentral:rRNA from 1 species
GUGAACGCUGGCGGUAGGCCUAACACAUGCACGUCGCACGGCAGCACAGUAAGAGCUUGCUCUUACGGGUGGCGAGUGGCGGACGGGUGAGGAAUACAUCGGAAUCUACUUUUUCGUGGGGGAUAACGUAGGGAAACUUACGCUAAUACCGCAUACGACCUACGGGUGAAAGCAGGGGAUCUUCGGACCUUGCGCGAUUGAAUGAGCCGAUGUCGGAUUAGCUAGUUGGCGGGGUAAAGGCCCACCAAGGCGACGAUCCGUAGCUGGUCUGAGAGGGUGAUCAGCCACACUGGAACUGAGACACGGUCCAGACUCCUACGGGAGGCAGCAGUGGGGAAUAUUGGACAAUGGGCGCAAGCCUGAUCCAGCCAUACCGCGUGGGUGAAGAAGGCCUUCGGGUUGUAAAGCCCUUUUGUUGGGAAAGAAAAGCAGCAGGUUAAUACCCCGCUGUUCUGACGGUACCCAAAGAAUAAGCACCGGCUAACUUCGUG